rnacentral:rRNA from 1 species
UGCAUGCCUAAGUUCAUACCUUUACACGGUGAAACUGCGAAUUGCUCAGUAAAUCAGUUAUCGUUUAUUUGAUUGUACCGGGGCCUCCCAAGGCUUCACACACUGGAUAACUGUGGGAAACUAGAGCUAAUACAUGUAAACUGCUAUCUCGGGGUAGCGUGCAUUUAUUCGCCUAGGAAACCAACACGUUUUGGGUUACGCCUGUGAAGCGUGGCUGUCUUGCCGCUUCUACAGCUCUGCGUUGCUCCCCCUUCUGGGAGAGUGCGCAGGGCGGUUGACUGUGGGGAAAGGGGCAGACACGCCCAGGAAGAACGAUCCAGACGUUCACGGUGAUUCUGAAUAACUGAUGCUGAUCGUACAGGGCCUCUGUGCCUACGAUAUUUCAAUCAAAUUUCUGCCCUAUCAUAUUCUGCUGGUAGGGUAGCGGCCUACCAAGGUGACGACGGGUAACGGGGAAUCAGGGUUCGAUUCCGGAGAGGGAGCCUGAGAAACGGCUACCACGUCCAAGGAUGGCAGCAGGCGCGCAAACUAUCCAAUCCAGACAAUGGGAGAUGGUGACGAGGUAUAUUGGAACUCACCGGCUAUGCCGGUCGAGUUACCAGAUAGACCCUAAUUUAAACCAAUAGAGGGUUAUUCAACGGGAGGGCAAGUCUGGUGCCAGCAGCCGCGGUAAUACCAGCUCCCGUGGUGUAUACGUUAGUUGUUGCGGUUAAAAAGCUCGUAGUUGAAAUACGGCGCGCUCGAAAGACCGUUCAGGAGUGUGGCUGCCUUGUGUGCAGUUUACGCAGGUACGGAGAGGCGACUGUGAGAGCGCCGGGACAUUACUCUGGCAGCGGCCCGGCACCGGUGCUGCUGCUGUUGCUUCAGUGCACCUCAUGGUGUGCGGAAGCGGCAGCAGCGACAACACGGACUGGGUCUCAACUGCUAGGGUGAUGCCUGCGGGUGCUCUCGUCAGGAGCCCUUCGGGCCUGACUUACACCCCCGAAAGAUCAUUAGAGUGCGCUUUCUCGUUGGGCCCGCCCGAAUCUCCUUUACUGGUGACGGGGGAAGUCCAGCGAAUUGUGCCUUGAGUAAAAUAGAGUGCUCCAAGCAGGCUAUGAUUAAUUCAUCGCCCGCAUACUCCAGCAUGGAACGAAUGUUCAAUUGCUUAAACCACCCCGCUGGCCUAGUUCGUUGGUUCAACACCGAGGUGUGUCCCCUCCCGGCCGGUGGGGUGCGUGCCUCUGUGUACGCACUCCAUCAUUCACCGUGGAGAUUUCGACACACUCUCGGCUAGGCCGUGUCCGCAGGAAAGUGUACCCGGAGACCCGCCUGUCAUCAGUCGGUGGUCUCUCCCACUGGGGAUCAUGUCUAUCUGUGUGGGCUGUGUGGUGCAUAUAGAUAUUGUUGUGGCCCGUGUGGCCGCCGCCAGCAAGUCUCGCUUGUUGUUGCUGCUGCCGCCGGAGACCACUCUCUCUAAAUAUAUCCCAGCCAAACACACACACCUGGGCACCCCGGCGCCGGAGAGGCCAUUUGGUGGCAGGUGUGCGUACUCGGUGGUGUCGGUGUGACCAGUAGUGGUGGUGGUGAUGGCGAUACCGAUGACAGAGGGCAGUGCUGCUGCUUCCGCCAGCUUGCGCUAGCGGAGCACACAGUGCUCUCUUCAUCUGCCAUCACGCAAACACACAUCCUAUUUGGCCGCCGUGCUCCACCGGGCACAGUCAGUCACCGGGAGCAAUGCACUCCCUGUGUAUGGGUAUCGGUUAACAGAGACAUUUGGGGGCAUUAGUAUUUGUCCGCGAGAGGUGAAAUUCUUAGACCGGGCAAAGACUAACAAUUGCGAAAGCAUUUGCCAAAGGUGUUUUCAUUAAUCAAGAACGAAAGUUGGAGGAUCGAUGACGAUUAGAUACCGUCGUAGUUCCAACUGUAAACUAUGCCAACCAGGGCUCAGGCCGGAUCAUUUAUAUUACAAAUAUUAUGGAUCCAGGUUGGGCCCCCCGGGAAACCUAAAGUUUUGGGUUCCGCGGGGAGUAUGGUUGCAAGGCUGAAACUUAAAGGAAUUGACGGAAGGGCACCACCAGGAGUGGAGCUGCGGCUUAAUUUGACUCAACACGGGGAAUCUCAUCAGGUCCGGACAUUGGAAGGAUUGACAGACUGACAGAUCUUUCAUGAUUCGGUGGAUGGUGGUGCAUGGCCGUUCUUAGUCGGUGGAGUGAUUUGUCUACUUAAUUGUGAUAACGGACGAGACUGCGACCUUCAUUUUGGCCGUAUGAAAUUAUCAACCGGUUCCGCUAGAUGCAUACAAGUCCUGUGCGGAGUGGCGCUCUGCUGGCUCCUUGAGAGGUGUUCACUGCUGAUGCAGCUGGCUAGGACAUGAGAUGGCGUUCGUGAUGAUACGCUCACACUUACCCUGGUACUCUCAGUGGUGCAUUGCAAGGAAUCCGCUGGGGUGUCUUACUCCGCACAGGAUGUGUCUGUGGUCCGGUGUGCGUUCGUGCGCCUUCAUGGAGGGACUACCGGAUUACAACCCGGGGGAAGCGUAGCAAUAGCAGGUCAGUGAUGCCCUUAGAUGUCCUGGGCUGCACGCGCGCUACAAUGGUAACGACAAUGAGUCUCUGCACCGAAAGGUGUGGGUAAUCUUGUCAAUCGUUGCCGUGCUGGGGAUUGAGCCUUGAAAUUAUUGCUCAUGAACCUGGAAUUCCUCGUAAGUACGAGUCACAAGCUCGUGCUGAAUACGUCUCUGCCCUUUGUACACACCGCCCGUCGCUACUACCGAUCGAAUGAUUUGGUGAGGACAUGGGAUCGAUCGGCGCCUCCUAUAGUGUGUGCGCUGACUGAGAGCCUGUCCAAGCUGCAUCAGUCAGAGGA